rnacentral:rRNA from 1 species
AAGGUCUCCCGUUGGUGAACCAGCGGAGGGAUCAUUA